rnacentral:rRNA from 1 species
AGUGAACGCUGGCGGUAGGCCUAACACAUGCAAGUCGAACGGCAGCACAGUAAGAGCUUGCUCUUACGGGUGGCGAGUGGCGGACGGGUGAGGAAUACAUCGGAAUCUACUUUUUCGUGGGGGAUAACGUAGGGAAACUUACGCUAAUACCGCAUACGACCUACGGGUGAAAGCAGUGGAUCUUCGGACCUUGCGCGAUUGAAUGAGCCGAUGUCGGAUUAGCUAGUUGGCGGGGUAAAGGCCCACCAAGGCGACGAUCCGUAGCUGGUCUGAGAGGAUGAUCAGCCACACUGGAACUGAGACACGGUCCAGACUCCUACGGGAGGCAGCAGUGGGGAAUAUUGGACAAUGGGCGCAAGCCUGAUCCAGCCAUACCGCGUGAGUGAAGAAGGCCUUCGGGUUGUAAAGCCCUUUUGUUGGGAAAGAAAAGCAGCAGGUUAAUACCUCGCUGUUCUGACGGUACCCAAAGAAUAAGCACCGGCUAACUUCGUG